rnacentral:rRNA from 1 species
AUGCAACACCUCCGGCAGCCGGUUCCAGCACCUCCCGCGUGUUGUCACGGUGCCGCCGGUGACAGUAUGCAGCUUUCACCGGCAACGGAUGCAACUUUCGCCGGGAAGGGAUGCCACUUUCGUCGGGAACGGAUGCAGCUUCGCUCCCAGGCGGUUCCUAGCACCGUCGUCGAUUGGUUGUGGCAUCUCCCCAUGUCAUUGCAGCACCUCUGUUGGGCGGUUCCAGCUCCUCCAUCCCACGGUUGCAGCAUCCGGCCACCGUCAGGAGUUAGCCGGUUGAAGCACCGGUGGCCGUCAUCUCCAGCCGUGCGGGUUGCAAAAGUGUCCAACCUCGCACAACAUCGACGGGGGCGGUUGGCUGCCAGCCCCAUCUCUACCCGAUCUAGAUGA